ensembl:lncRNA
GCGGGAAGGACGGAGCAGCGGGGAUGCCGUCGCCGACCUGGGAAUUGCGGACGAGCCCACAGGAAAGGAGCAGGAAGCCACCCCGGGCCCCGCUGGCAUCCAUGCUGUCCCUGGGCUCCCUCGAUGCAUCUUCUUCCUCCUCCUGUUCCUCCCUCUACUCCUCCCCAGAGCCCUGGCCUGGUGCAGUUGGUGCAACUGUCAGAGUUGGCUGCCCUUGCACCUCGGAUCGCCCCAGAGCCACAACCAGAGCCUGAGGCAGAGGCAGAGCCAGAGGCAGAGCCAGCCCUGUGCCCAAGCCCAGAGCCCUUGGCUCUCCCAGCAGCAGCCCCCAGCCCCCUUCACUGCCCACAGCCAAGUGAGCAGAGCUCCCCCAGGAAUGGAGCGCAGAGCCCCAUGAAGUCCUCCCUGCCGCACUGUUCCCACACGGAGCUCAUCCAGGAGCUGCUCUGUGCCAUCUGUGAGAACCACGCGGCUGUUGAGCGCCGCUGCCAAUUGCUGUGGGCAGUGCUGGAUCAUUGGGGGGCAGCCAGGACCCCUAGGGAGGCCAACCAGGAGCCCCCAGGACCCUCCCCAGAAUCUAUCUGCGCGUAUGGAUGGAUGUCCUUGGUACUGGGAGGUGGCAGCUGCUGGAGGGGGACAUGGACGUGGAUAUAGACAUGGAUGUGAACAGGGAUAAAGACACGGAUGUGGACAUGGAUACAGACAUGGAUGCAGACAUGAACAUGGACAUAGUUGGGUGCAUACACGUGGAAGCAGAUGAGAGCACCCAAAUUUAGCUGGACCAGAGCAUCCUGAUGGACCCAAGCAGGACCAGCCCUAUGGAUUCUUGCAGAAACAUCCCCAUGGAUCCAUGGACGCCAAGCUGAGUGGUGCAGUUGACAAAGCGGAAGGAAGGGACGCUACUGAAGAGGGACACAGACAUGAAUAUGAACAAUCACAAGGACAUGGACAUGGAUGCGGACAUGAACCUGGACACAGAUGGGCACCCAGAAGUGGGAGCAGAUGGGAGCGCCCCAAAGGAUGUGGACCAGAGCGUGCUGAUGGACCCAGGCAGGAUCAGCCCGAUGGAUCCACGCAGAAACAUCCCCAUGGAUCCAUGCAGGGCCAUCCCAGCAGAUGCAGGCAGGACCAACCCAACGGGGUGCCUCUGGGGUCCCAAGGGCACGGCCCAUCUGCGGGUGACCCCGGGGCUGUGCCGGGCCAGGCAGCGCCUGCAGCACAGCUUCUCCAGGCUGUGGCGGUGGGUGCAGGAGCGCUGGAGGCACUGCCAUGCACAGCCCUUUUGGCAGCGCUGGUCCUCCGUGGGGAGGAAGACUCCCUGAGCCCGAGUGUGGGGCCCGGCACCGCCACAGCCCUACCACGCUCCCUCCGGCUCAGACCACUGAAGGGCUUCUGAUAAUCUGCUUUCUAACCUAAACCUCCCCUCUUUUUGCUUAAAGCCACUCCUCCUUGUUCUAUCACUACACCCCUCAAAGGGUUCCUACAGCCCUGUUCUGCUCUGAGAUAUCCAUACAUACACACUCAUGCACAGCCCCAGGGAAAGGC